UACAAAGAACUACUUUUUUUGGAGCUCUCCAAUUGAAAUGGUUCCCAAAAGGUGAUUGCCAAUUUGCAAUCUUGCUACAGACAAUCACACUAGCAGGGCCAUCAAGCCCAUCCCAUGAGAAUGAUCAAAUCUCCAAUAAGACUCAGCUGUUCCAUGGGGGAGUGAGGGGAAUGAAGCAUUCAGAAAGAUAAAAUCAUCUGGGUUUUCUGAAUGUUUUCCCUGCUGAGGUUGAGGCUGAGAACUUGCAUUGGCUGAAGACUUGCAGCUGGAACCAGAUAGGAAGUAAGCUUCUGGAAGCACUAAAAUGAAUUGUCACUCCCACUCUCGAUACCCACAGCUUCAAAACCACCAGAUGCUGACAGCUGCUGUGGAAAUCUAAGCAAGUGGAGGGAUAUCCAGAUUGAGCUGGCCAAGUUUGGUACAAGAGCUAAGAGUCUGGGAACAAUGGGAGGUCAGCUUUCUGUGUCACUGUGGAUACAAAGGAAGUACUUUUGAGACACAGACAGGAAGUGACUGAGGACUUUAAGGGCAGCUUGGGCUAUCCAGGAAAGUUCUUCAUUCUUGUUUUUUUCUGCUGAGGCUCUAGAGGGACACCUGUCAGACUGACCAAGGCCGAAGAUGGCUCCCUACCAGAGAGAUUCAACUGAGGGCUUGCGAUAGGUCUUGUGACAUUGCUAUUGAUCUUGAGACAUUCAUCUGAAGCAUGAUUGUCACUGGCUUCAAACUUUCCUCAUCAUAAGAGAGGGACUGGGUCUACUUCAAAUGUUUCGCACUAAUGAAGUUAACAUUCCCUUUCAUGGUGAGCUCUGCCCUCAUCAUGAGACCAUGCCCAGGCUAGUCUGCUGGAAGGAAGUCAGAGGCACACGGAAGAGAGCCACAUUCAGCCAAGGCCAUUCUAGACCAGUUGUUCCCUGUCACUUCACUAAUUGGCCACAGCACAAGGUUUUGUUGAAGAUUGAAUGAGUGUGUAAAGUGCCCAACAGAAAGUCUGGCACAUGGUACACGGAUGGAGCUGGAAGCCAUUAUCCUCAGCAAACUAA
rnacentral:lncRNA from 1 species